ensembl:lncRNA
GUUCUUUUUGGAGAGCGGUGACGUUCUCCUUGCAGCCCUGCCUUGCUGUGACCGUUUGUAGCCUGAUGAGCUUCAACAACUCUUUCUGUGAGGUCCUCAGAAAUCUCCAUUGUUCGUGCCAUGAUACACUUCCACAAACGUGCUGUGAAGAUCAGACUCUGAUAGAUCCCUGUUCUUUAAAUAAAACCGGGCGCUCACUCACACCUGAUUAUCAUCCCAAAGAUUGAAAACACCUGACUCUAAUUUCACCUUCAGAUGAACUGCUAAUCCUAGAGGUGCACAUACUUCUCCCACUCACAGACGUGUAAUAUUGGAUCAUUUUCCUCAAUAAAUAAAUGACACAGUAUAAUAAUUUUGUUUCUUUUGUUUGAUUGGGUUCUUUUUCAACUUUUAGGACUCGUGUGAAAAUCUGAUGUUUUAGGUCCUAUUUAUACAGAAAUCUGGAACAUUUUAAAGGGUUGACAAACUUUCAAGCACCACUGUGUAUAUGCAUGAGUUAAAUUCCAUAAAUACUUUUGUGCAAAAAAUUCGUGGAUUUUUAAAUCAAAGGUGUUAAAUGCCACAAUAAUCUGGAUCAUUCUUUUUUUUUUUCUUUUUUUAUUUUAUUUUUGUGACCGUUUAACAGAGGAACAGAUUUGUGGUUACUGUGUGUGUGUGUGUGUGUGUGUGUGUGUAUGUGUGUGUGUGUGUGUGUGAUGGUGAACAGAUGCCACAAAAUUCUUUCCAGGUUAAGAUUCUCGCACGUCUGUUUUACUCUGAAACUGUUGCUGAUGAGCGCGACGGUGUAGUUUUGGUUGUGUUGUUCAGGGGCAGCUCACAAAACGAGAAUAUCGUGGAAAAGUCCCGUUUUUUUCCUGUAAUUUACUUCAAAAAGUGGAACUUUUAUAUAUUCUAGUUCAAUAUUAAAGUUAAAUAUUUCAAGCCUUUUUUGUUUGUUUGUUUUAAUCUCGAUUAUGGUUUACGGCUCACGGGGAAAAAAUCCAGUAUCUCAAAAUAUCAGAAUAAAGAAUUUAUAAUACAGAAAUGUCGACCUGAGAAGAGCUUUCAUCAGCGAAGGUUUCCUGAGCCUUUAAUCUCAGUCUGGUGCAGUGUACACGUACACACACACACACACACACACACACUGUUGUAAAUUGUUAUCUUCAAGAUUAAAACAACAAAAAAAAGGCUUGAAAUGUUUCAUUUUAUGUGUAAUGAAUCUAGACUGUAUGAAAGUUCCACUUUUUCAUUUGCGUUACGGGAGGGGAAUAACUUUUCCACGAUAUUCAGAUUGUUUUUAUAGACGCACCCGUAUAGUCUUAUAUUGUAUCCCUUUAUUGAAGGAAUUCAAC